rnacentral:rRNA from 1 species
GAUGAACGCUGGCGGCGUGCCUAAUACAUGCAAGUCGAACGCAUAGCGAAAGGUGCUUGCACCUUUCAAGUGAGUGGCGAACGGGUGAGUAACACGUGGACAACCUGCCUCAAGGCUGGGGAUAACAUUUGGAAACAGAUGCUAAUACCGAAUAAAACUUAGUGUCGCAUGACACAAAGUUAAAAGGCGCUUCGGCGUCACCUAGAGAUGGAUCCGCGGUGCAUUAGUUAGUUGGUGGGGUAAAGGCCUACCAAGACAAUGAUGCAUAGCCGAGUUGAGAGACUGAUCGGCCACAUUGGGACUGAGACACGGCCCAAACUCCUACGGGAGGCUGCAGUAGGGAAUCUUCCACAAUGGGCGAAAGCCUGAUGGAGCAACGCCGCGUGUGUGUUGAAGGCUUUCGGGUCGUAAAGCACUGUUGUAUGGGAAGAACAGCUAGAAUAGGAAAUGAUUUUAGUUUGACGGUACCAUACCAGAAAGGGACGGCUAAAUACGUG